UUUUCAGGAGGACCCAAGAUCAGAAUACGUGUAGAAAGAGAAUAAUCUUUUUAUUCGGAAACGGGCAACCGGGUGAAUCGUGGCCCCUCUAAUGUUCAUCUAGACAGGGACAAUUUUUAGGAUAAUUUCAGACAGAAACUCAUUUUCUGCAUUUCUAUCAUCAGGAAGAUAUUGGUUCUUAUUUCGGUCCGGAGCUCAAAACUCAAUGUCCUUCCCUUGCAGUUCUCUAAUCUCUAAUAAACUAACAAUAAUAUACCAAACUAUCUUCGAAUCAGCCGAAAAAAAGUGGUAUGUAGGUGUCCAGUUUUCUACAAGUGAUGCAUCUAAAUAUUAAUUUUUCAAUUUUUCAUUUUCUACUGUCAAUAAUUUAGCCCUCCGUAUAUUUUUAGUAAAAAUGAUAUGAUAUCGAGAAUGGUUAGCCUUUCAUUUUCGCCUAUCUUUUCCGUAUAUUUGAUCAACAUAAAGACACUACUGAAUCAUCAACAUCAAGAUAUUGGUAAGCCCGAAAAUACUGGUCCAGCCCGAAAUAAUACUUACCAAAAACAUGAAAAUACUUACCAGUAUCUUCAUGUUGAUGAUUAUUUUGGGCUGGAGCCCAAAACUUAAAAACAGCAGGGUUUUCUUUAUGGCAACGAUUCUACACAGCUAUCUCAGAUACUAAGGCCGUUCCACGAUCCGAUUUUCAUGGGUUUCAACUCAAGAAAAUCGGAUCAUGGAAACACAUUUUGCUUUCCACAUAGAAGACGUGGGCUUGAAUCUGGAUCUCACAUCUCGCAGAAAUUUCAUGAGAAAUCUGAGCAUCCUUGUCCUUUAAAAUCCACUAAUUCUGCCACAAGUUGAGACGUUUGGUGAUAGCGCUCGGAAUUACCCUGCCGCUUGGUAAUCAAACAAUAAUUGAAGCAACACUUAAAAUAAAUCUGGUAACUCGAAAUGAAAGCGAAAAAACAAAAUUACCAAAACGCAAUCACGAAAUCUCGAAAAGAGAAAAAUAUACCGGGCAGAAACGAAUUCGUUUCCGUCCGAAAUUAUCUU
rnacentral:lncRNA from 1 species